rnacentral:rRNA from 1 species
GAUGAACGCUGGCGGCGUGCCUAAUACAUGCAAGUCGAGCGAACAGACGAGGAGCUUGCUCCUCUGACGUUAGCGGCGGACGGGUGAGUAACACGUGGAUAACCUACCUAUAAGACUGGGAUAACUUCGGGAAACCGGAGCUAAUACCGGAUAAUAUAUUGAACCGCAUGGUUCAAUAGUGAAAGACGGUUUUGCUGUCACUUAUAGAUGGAUCCGCGCCGCAUUAGCUAGUUGGUAAGGUAACGGCUUACCAAGGCAACGAUGCGUAGCCGACCUGAGAGGGUGAUUGGCCACACUGGAACUGAGGCACGGUCCAGACUCCUACGGGAGGCAGCAGUAGGGAAUCUUCCGCAAUGGGCGAAAGCCUGACGGAGCAACGCCGCGUGAGUGCUGAAGGUCUUCGGAUCGUAAAACUCUGUUAUUCGGGAAGAACAAAUGUGUAAGUAACUAUGCACGUCUUGACGGUACCUAAUCAGAAAGCCACGGCUAACUACGUG